rnacentral:lncRNA from 1 species
UUUUCUAUUCUAGGUAAUGAAGUUAAUAGUCAUAAAGGGCUUUGGAGUUGGAAAGCUUAGCAGAGCCAUAUCCACAAGUCAAAAAUCACCCAGAAGAUGUGGAAAUCCCAACUCAGUGGAGAUUUUGUGAGGGGCUGUUGGAAAGGUCAAAUGAAAACUUUGGGCCUGGCUGGUUUAGUUUGCUGUGGAUCACUUCAGUUUGACAAAGAAGCUGUUCUUGCCUUAGCCUCAAGCUUGGGAUUGGUCCUAUCUUCCUCAUCCAAAGGGCAAAGCAUACCCAUGGUCACUAUGGAAAAUAUUUUUGGCCUGUCUUUUGGCCCACGUAAUUAGAACAGCAAUAGGAGUACUGAUACUGAGUCUGGUGACAAGUAAUAAUAAUAAUAAUAAUAAUUCCCCAGUUGCCAUUACCGCAAAACAUCAUAGCUAUAACAACUGCAAGUAUUGAUACAACUACAGGUUCCAUCACUUCUACAGACUCCACCAUAUCUGAUAUAACAACCACGGCCAUAACAGAUACAACAGACAACACCUCUAUGACAACGCCUGAAACCACUCCAUCUACCACCCCCAGAACUUUAUCUGAGGCCACUUCAACCACUGCCUCAACUCUUUCUGAGACCACUACAGCUGCCAUGACAACAGCUAGUACUGAAACCACAAUGGACACCACCAUAACUACAGCUACUACUGAAACCACAAUGGGUACCACCAUAGCUUCAACUCCAAGCACCACUACAAUUGCUCUUCUUACCUCUAUAAGCACCACUAUAGCUACAACUUUAACCACUACAGCUACCACCACAGGUGAAUCAGACACCACAAAAUUCCCUGCUCCUACAACUGUACCAGAAACUACACCAGCCACCACCAUAGCUUCCUCCUAAAACCAAACAGCCUCUAUCACCAUGAAGCACAUUGCAAUUUUUACAGCCACAACCACUAUCACCGGCUGCAACUGUGAUGAUAGUCAUCACCAACAAUAAUAUUAUAUUUGUUAUGGUAGGGACAGAAGUCUCUACCUCAACACGACCAAUGUCAUGUGAGUUUAUUUUGGCCUACCAUGCUUAUGUAAAUCAGGGCUCCUCCUUCUCUCCCUCCCUUCCUUCCUCCCUUCCUUCCUUUCUUCCUUCCUUUCCUCCCUCCAUUCCUCUCUCCCUCUCUUCCUCCUUCCUUCCUUUCUUCCUUCCUUCUUUCAUUCCUUUUUGCCUUCCAGAUGAAGGGAGAAUGUUUGAUAAUUGGAAAAAUGAAAUAAAAAAGUUUUGAUCAUAUCA